GCUAUGUAGCUCAGUUGGUUAGAGCAUCGCACUCAUAAUGCGGAGGUCACAGGUCCGAGUCCCGUCAUAGCC
rnacentral:tRNA from 1 species